rnacentral:rRNA from 1 species
CCUACGGGAGGCAGCAGUGGGGAAUAUUGGGCAAUGGGGGCGACUCUGAACCAGCAAAGUAGCGUGAAUGAUGACUGUCUUCGGAUUGUAAAGUUCUGUGUUGGAAGAUGAACACAAUGACGGUACCCCCAUAGCAAGCCACGGCUAAAUACGUGCAAGCAGCCGCGGCAAUACGGAGGUCGCACGCGUUAUCCGGAUUGAAUGGGCGUAAGGGGUGCGUAGGUGGUUUGUUAAGUUAGAGGUGUAAUUUCGGGGCUCAACCUUGGCGCUACCGCCAAAACUAUCAGCCUAGAGUGCAGGAGAGGUAAGUGGAAUUCGUGGUGUAGCGGUGAAAUGCGUAGAUAUUAGGAAGAACUCCAAGUGCGAAGGCAGCCUACUAGACUGUAACUGACAUUGAUGCUCGAAAGCGUGGGGAGCAAACAGGAUUAGAUACCCCUGUAGUC